rnacentral:misc_RNA from 1 species
GAAAUGCGAUAAGUAAUGUGAAUUGCAGAAUUCAGUGAAUCAUCGAAUCUUUGAACGCACAUUGCGCCCGCCAGUAUUCUGGCGGGCAUGCCUGUUCGAGCGUCAUUUCAACCAUCAAGCCCCCGGCUUGUGUUGGGGACCUGCGGCUGCCCGCAGGCCCUGAAAAACAGUGGCGGGCUCGCUGUCACACCGAGCGUAGUAGCAUACAUUCUCGCUCAGGGCGUGCUGCGGGUUCCGGCCGUUAAACGACCUUCAUAACCCAAGGUUGACCUCGGAUCAGGCAGGAAGACCCGCUGAACUGAAG